rnacentral:rRNA from 1 species
GAUUGUAACGCGUGGAUAACCUGCCUACAUGACCGGGACAACACCGGGAAACUGGUGCUAAUACCGGAUACGCUCAUCUAUACACAUGUAUAGAUGAGGAAAGGAGAAAUCCGCAGGUAGAUGGGUCCGCGUCCCAUUAGCUAGUUGGCGGUGUAAAAGACCACCAAGGCGACGAUGGGUAGCCGGCCUGAGAGGGUGGACGGCCACACUGGAACUGAGACACGGUCCAGACUCCUACGGGAGGCAGCAGUGGGGAAUCUUCCGCAAUGGGCGAAAGUCUGACGGAGCAACGCCGCGUGAGUGAGGAAGGCCUUCGGGUCGUAAAGCUCUGUCUUCAGGGAAGAAAAAAAUGACGGUACCUGAGGAGGAAGCCCCGGCUAACUACGUGCCAGCAGCCGCGGUAAAACGUAGGGGGCGAGCGUUGUCCGGAAUUACUGGGCGUAAAGGGCGCGUAGGCGGUUAUUUAAGUCAGAGGUGAAAACUGUGGGCUCAACCCACAGCCUGCCUUUGAAACUGGAUGACUUGAGGGCAGGAGAGGGGAGUGGAAUUCCCAGUGUAGCGGUGAAAUGCGUAGAUAUUGGGAAGAACACCAGUGGCGAAGGCGGCUCUCUGGCCUGUUUCUGACGCUGAGGCGCGAAAGCGUGGGGAGCAAACGGGAUUAGAUACCCCGGUAGUCCACGCCGUAAACGAUGGGUGCUAGGUGUAGGAGGUAUCGACCCCUUCUGUGCCGUAGUUAACACAAUAAGCACCCCGCCUGGGGAGUACGGCCGCAAGGUUGAAACUCAAAGGAAUUGACGGGGGCCCGCACAAGCGGUGGAGCAUGUGGUUUAAUUCGACGCAACGCGAAGAACCUUACCAGGGCUUGACAUCCUCUG